GUCCUUUUGAUUGUAAUUUAAGGUCUGACCUGCCCACUGAUAUAAAUUGAAGGGCCGCGGUAUUUUGACCGUGCAAAGGUAGCAUAAUCAUUAGUCUUUUAAUUGGAGGCUGGAAUGAAGGGUUGGACGAGGCAUAGGCUGUCUCAUUGUAAUUGGGGCUAGAAUUUAACUUUUGAGUGAAAAGGCUUAAAUAGUUUUAAAGGACGAGAAGACCCUAUUAAAUCUUUAUUUUGAGGGCUUUAUUAAUAGUUUGGGUAGGUUAUUUUUUAUUAGAGAAUUCAAUAUUUUGUUGGGGUGACGGGAAGAUAGGUUGAACUCUUUUUAUACGAAAGACACUGAUUUGUGUAUCGAUGAU
rnacentral:rRNA from 1 species